AUAUGCUCAUGAUUUCAUUUGCAACAGUAUCUGUUCUUAUCAGUUUAAUAUCUGAUACGUCCUCUAUAAGGGGACAGCAUAUUAAAUGGAUUUUUAGCACUGGGAGCCGAAAAAGGGGCUUGCUCCGUUCGCUCCACGCAUUGACCCGGGGUUGCAGCGCUGCCGGUUUUGGGGCAGUCGUG